UCCCCAGUGGUCUAGUGGUUAAGACUCUGCACUUCCACAGCAGGGAACACACGUUUGAUCCCUGAUUGGGGAA
rnacentral:tRNA from 1 species